GCGCAGCCUCAGUCAGCCGAGGUGGGGAACAUGGCCGUCAGGUUCCUGUGGGCGGUCCGGCGGCGGAUGCAGCCCCUCCUGGCCUCGAGUGGCGCGUCAGAUGGCAGGGGAUGGCUGCAUCCUUUCAGCACUGCCACCCAGAGAACCGCUGGUGAAGACUGCAAUUCUGAGGACCCUCCUGAUGAACUUGGGCCCUCUCUUGCAGAACGAGCCUUAAAGCUAAAAGCUGUUAAACUGGAGAAGGAAGUCCAGGAUUUAACAGUGAGAUACCAGAGAGCUAUAGCUGAUGGUGAAAAUAUAAGAAGGCGAACCCAGAGAUGUGUAGAAGAUGCCAAGAUAUUUGGAAUUCAGAGUUUCUGUAAGGAUUUGGUGGAGGUGGCAGACAUUUUGGAGAAGACUACAGAGUGUAUUUCUGAAGAAACAGAGCCUGGGGACCAGAAGCUCACUCUGGAGAAGAUCUUCCGAGGCUUGUCACUUUUAGAAACAAAGCUGAAAAGCGUGUUUGCCAAACAUGGCCUGGAGAAGAUGACACCCAUUGGUGACAAAUAUGACCCUCAUGAGCAUGAACUCAUCUGUCAUGUGCCAGCUGGUGUUGGGGUGCAGCCUGGCACUGUGGCAUUAGUAAGGCAGGAUGGCUACAAGCUUCAUGGCCGCACCAUUAGACUCGCCCAGGUGGAAGUGGCAGUGGAGUCUCAGAGAAGACUAUGAAUGGGCCCAGAGGAACUGAAAGUUCUCCCGGAGUGCAGUCACCUGUGAUUCCUUUAUUUAUUAAACUAGGCUAAUGGCCCAGGCAAGACUUGGAAGGCAGAGACUGGCAAGAAAUCAAGAUACGAGGUCCCUUUCAAGCAAGUAUGGCCGAGAAACCUUGUGCUUUCUUUGUUGAGUUAUCUUCAAAUUGUUUUCAGCCUCCUCCCUAGGUAUAUAAUCAUUUCAGGGAAAUUGAGGCAGCACCAACAGCUAAAGACCUAAAUUGGUCUAUAUAGGUAAUUUACCCACAACUUCUCUUUCCACCAGCCCUUAAAUCCUCUGCCACUUUGUCAGAUUUACCUUAUGAUCCUUUAUUAGAUUACGUGGGGAGGUGGUCAGGACAAAAAAAUGUUAGGGUCCCAUGAUUCCUCAUUAGUUAUGCUAGGUUUGGGGUGUUUUUUUUGGUGGGGGGUACUCACAAUUCACUACCUCUCUUACAUUGACAAGCUUUAUUUCCUAGUUUUUGUGUCUGUCUUAUGUCACAUGUGUAAACAUCUAGCUCCCCUUUUAUGUAUUGACCUCCUAGAGUUAAUGAGCCUAUGUGUAUAUUUUUUAUUUCAGUCUUGCUUAUAGAUAGUGUUCUGUAAAAAAUUUAUUCAAUAAAUGAGUUAGUGAAAGAAUGAGAUAUAGAUAUAGAUAUAUAUCUAUAUAUAUAUAUCAAUUGGACAUUAGAAAGGAGGUCAUAUGGUUAUUUUAAUGUUAGAAGCAGCCUUCAUGAUGAUCUAAUCUCACCCCUUCAGCUUCUUCUGAAGUAUGAAAACAUAGUCCUUUUAGGACUAGACUCAAAGAAAAAAAAAAUCUCUAAAACUAGUAAACUAAAUUUUAGUGAGAACUUAAGUAAGAAACAACUAGAUAUUAACUUCAGUCAUUUAAGAUUCAACAGUUCUAUAACAAACAUGCAAAUAUGUCCCCAGCAGAGAAUUAAAUGUUGUUAGGUGUCCAGAUUGCCCAGGUUUAGGUUUAAGUUACUUACCCAUAAAAUAAAUCCAUUUCUACUUGAACUCUAUGACCCCAUUCUGUGGGGUGGUGAAAGUUAUCCUCUUAGACAUCAUAGGUAGUUCUAGCAUACUACACAAGCAUGUAUCAACAAAGCAUCCCCCAAUGAGUCCUACCACCUCCACCAGAUUUAGACACUUAAAAAAAACAAAUACAUGCUUCUAAGAUGCAAGCAAAAGACCGUUGGUGAGAUUUUAAAACCAGAACCUCUUUUGGCAUUCCACUAAGUGCAUACUGUAAAUAUAAUGAGCAGUCAGAUUUCACAAUAGGAAUUUGUCUUUUUUUGCCUUCAUUCCUUUGAGAUUGACAAAUAGUGAGGACAAGAAAAUGAGCCAAUUAUGAUUUCCUUUGUGUUCUUGGAUCACUAGCUAUCAUUACCAGUGAAUUAGAAUAACCAUAAUUUUAGGUGUGGAAUGUUCUGAUUACUUGAAGAGUUUGUAAAUAUUCCUUGCAACCUCCUGUUUUAGCAAGUAGACUGAGAAUAAUUUUAGAUUCUUCUAUUAUUCAGUAGUUUUGCAGACUUAAAAGUAUAAAUUUAGAAGAUGGAGCUAUAACAGUGAGAAUCUCAAAAUGCUGAAGGGCUUUCACGAGCCAGCGCAGCAUAAUAGAGCAUAUGCUUAGUAGGCAUCAACUUGAACAUAAUUCCCAGCCUAGUCACUUCACUCUUCUGAGCCUGCUUCCACGUUUGUAAAAUGGUUAUAAUUCUCAAAAUAUUGCGAGGAUUAAGCGAAAUGUGCAAAUUGCCUAUUACAGUAGGCCCUCAAAUAUUUAUUUUUAUUGCCUUUUAUUAUACACAUUGUUUUUCGUAUGUUUUUAUAGUUGCCUAAAGUCUAGGGGAAGGGAAAGACUGGUUAAGUGGUGCUUGACUAUAAAAAAAAAUUGUAAGCUAAUCAAUCACACUGAACUUAUUUUCCUUUUAGCUUCUGUUUUUUGUGUUUGUCUGUUUUAACCAUAACAAGGAAAUCUACAUUUUUAGACUGGAGAAAUAAGAAAAUUGUUUCAGUGCCCUUAAUUAUUUUCAUCUUGAUGGUAAAGUAAAAAGACAUCAUUGGCUUGCAGAUGAUAUGUGUAAGGAAGCUUUGACUUAUUUGAAGAGGGAUCUUGGUGCUUUAGUACUUGGAUUUUACGAAUCUUUUGUGGAUUUUCCUCACUGCCAUAAAGGAAUUAUUCAGUUUGAUACUGAUAUAAGCUUGUGGUGCUCUUUCAUGGCAAAGGAUUUAAUAAGUGAAGAAAGGUUCUUAAACACUAAAGCAAAAUCUAAUAAGGAAGACUAAGGAUGAAAUAUAAUCUUCGGAAACAACUUUAAUAAAACCUUAA